GUUUGGGAGGAGUUUACGAACUCCGAGUGGUGAAGGAUAGUGCCAAGAAAAGCUGGCUAUGUGAUGAAGAUAGAACACCCGUACCCGAAACCGACACAGGUAGGGAGGUUGAGAAUACCAAGGGGCGCGAGAUAACUCUCUCUAAGGAACUCGGCAAAAUGGCCCCGUAACUUCGGGAGAAGGGGUGCCCACCUCAUACGUGGGUCGCAGUGAAGAGAUCCAGGCGACUGUUUACCAAAAACACAGGUCUCCGCCAACUCGCAAGAGGACGUAUGGGGGCUGACGCCUGCCCAGUGCCGGAAGGUUAAGGAAGCUGGUCAGCGAAAGUAAAGCUGGCGACUGAAGCCCCGGUGAACGGCGGCCGUAACUAUAACGGUCCUAAGGUAGCGAAAUUCCUUGUCGGGUAAGUUCCGACCCGCACGAAAGGCGUAACGAUCUGGAUGGUGUCUCAGAGAGAGACUCGGCGAAAUAGGAAUGUCUGUGAAGAUACGGACUGCCUGCACCUGGACAGAAAGACCCUAUGAAGCUUUACUGUAGCCUGGAAUUGUGUUCGGGCUUCGCUUGCGCAGGAUAGGUGGGAAGCGGUGAACUAUUCCUUUUGGGGAAUAAGGAGCUAACGGUGAGAUACCACUCUGGCGAAGCUAGAAUUCUAACCCACGACCGUCAGCCGGUUGGGGAACAGUUUCAGGUGGGCAGUUUGACUGGGGCGGUCGCCUCCUAAAAAGUAACGGAGGCGCGCAAAGGUUCCCUCAGCACGCUUGGAAACCGUGCGACGAGUGUAAAAGCAAAAGGGAGCUUGACUGCAAGACUGACAAGUCGAGCAGGUACGAAAGUAGGCUUUAGUGAUCCGACGGCGCAGAGUGGAAUGGCCGUCGCUCAACGGAUAAAAGUUACUCUAGGGAUAACAGGCUGAUCUCCCCCAAGAGUCCACAUCGACGGGGAGGUUUGGCACCUCGAUGUCGGCUCAUCGCAACCUGGGGCGGAAGUACGUCCCAAGGGUUGGGCUGUUCGCCCAUUAAAGCGGUACGUGAGCUGGGUUCAGGACGUCGUGAGACAGUUCGGUCCAUAUCCGGUGCAGGCGCAAGAGUAUUGAGAGGAGUCCUCCUUAGUACGAGAGGACCGGGAGGAACGCACCGCUGGUGUACCAGUUAUUGUACCAACAGUAAACGCUGGGUAGCCAAGUGCGGAGAGGAUAACCGCUGAAAGCAUCUAAGUGGGAAGCCCACCUCAAGAUGAGUACUCUCACUACAAAAAGUAGGUAAGGUCACGGGCAGAACACCCGUUAAUAGGCUCUAAGUGGAAGUGCAGUAAUGUAUGAAGCUGAGGGGUACUAAUAGACCGAGGGCUU
rnacentral:rRNA from 1 species